rfam:Felis catus isolate Cinnamon breed Abyssinian chromosome F1, whole genome shotgun sequence.
AUACGUACCUGGCAAGGGAGAUACCAUGAUCAGCGAAGGUGGUUUUCCCAGGGCGAGGCUUAUCCAUUGCACUCCGGAUGUGUUGACCCCUGCGAUUUCCCCAAAUGUAGGAAACUUGACUCCACAAUUUUUGGUAGUGGGUGACUGCGUUCGCGCUUUCCCCUG